UGAUAAACGGCGGCUGUAUUCUAAACGGUCCUAAGGUAGCAAAAUUCCUUGUCGGGUAAUCUCCGUCCUGCAUGAACGGUGUAACGACUUCCCCAUUGUCGCUAGUGUGAGACUCCUAAUAAAUAGAAUUAUCCAUGAAUAUGUGGAAUCAUACGGCCCGACGGUAAGACCCUGAGCACCUUAACUUCCCUAAAA
rnacentral:rRNA from 1 species